GGUGCGGGCCAGGUGUCCGCCGGCGUCCCGAGCAAUCGGGCGCGGGAGGAAAGUCCGGGCUCCGCAGGGCAGGGUGCUGGUUAACGGCCAGUGGAGGCAACUCCAAGGAAAGUGCCACAGAAAUCAAACCGCCCGGCGUCGAUCUGCAUGCAGGUCUGCGCCGUAUGGAGGACUCACUCCCAGAGUGACUUCCUCCUCACCGCGCAAGCGGGGCAAGGGUGAAACGGUGCGGUAAGAGCGCACCGCCGGAAUGGUGACAUUCCGGGCACGGCAAACCCCACCUGGUGCAAGGUCUGACAGGGUGCCCCCAGGCGCUAAGUCGUUUGGGGAAAGAUGACCCGUCUUCGUCACCCGAGAAAGCCGCUCGAGGCAGGCGGCAACGUCUGCUCUAGAUGAAUGGGCACCGCCCGACUGUCGGCAACGAUUUUCGGGAACAAAAUCCGGCUUACGGCCCGCAUCGACG
rnacentral:RNase_P_RNA from 1 species